GGCCUCUCUGGCGGGGCUCGAGCUUCCUGGGCCUCAAGCAUCCCUCCCCUCCCCUCCCGUCACACCCCGGCUUGGCCUAACCUGGCAGUGCAGCGGGGAAGGCUCUGAGAGCCCCUCAUGGCAGGCAACAUACCCCUGGGCUACCUCGCUGCCCACGCGGCUAGUUGUACCUGUGCGGGGGGAGGGGUGUGCAGCCGCCAGCUGCCCCAUGCUACUCUUCAGCCUGUGAGUGUGGGGAAGGGAAGAAUGGAAGAUGAACUCUGCAACUGCUCCUCCUAAUUCUGGGUUUGUAUUGACCAAGAGCAUCAACUGUGCAUAGGAUGCAGAGAAAGUUCGGCCACGUGAAAGGAACAUUUAAAUAGCUGAACUUAAGAACACGAGAGGAAAAGAACACCGCCCAACCUACUUGGGAUGGGUUGAUGGGAUCCUCAGAUAACCAGAAUUUUUAAAUAACCAGAACACCCUAGUCCCCGAGCAUGCCGGAUAACACAAGUUUUACUGUACUACUUUUGUGUGGGUAUAACGAUGCUAAUAGGUACCGUAUUUGGUAUAAGUUCUUGUUUCUUGUUAACAUUACAAAUUAAGUCUUGCUACUUAUCUGCAUUGCAAGCUAAGUUGUAUAAGGCUCUUUUGUUAUUUCUUAGUAACUAUAUCCUUUCUCAAAUGUAAUCCUGUCUGAAAAUUUCUCUGUAAAAUUGUUUGGUGUGAGUGGAGAAUGCAUGCAUACUUAAGGAUAAGUGUGAAAUCCAUCAUGAAUGUCCAGAUGGUCAAAAGGAAGUGAGAAACUUUGAGGAAAAAAUCAGAAAACCCAUUGUGCCCACUGCUAAACAAAUUAGCAGAAUUAACAAAUCUUGGAGAAAGGCAGGCAUCCCCAAAGGUGAGAUGACAAAUGAGAUGAUGGGAAGCCUGACAACAAUCAAAAGAUAAUAUGAAAAAUUCCAAGAUUAAAUACCAUUUAUGGAUUAACAUUGGCAACAUGACAUUGCCAAAUCCCUAGACUCCAAUGGCAACUUACAAAAAUAAAGAUAGGGUGUUUUGUCAUGGUUCCCCGGGGUCAGUCCUGAUGAGCCUCAAAGUAUCGGGUCAUGACCAACAGAGCCCAGCUCCUCACUCGUUCAAUUUAACUGACCAUUUUAGGUUGACUUGAGCUAAAACAGACUGGUAACUAUAAGAGCAUCUUCAGGACCUGUGGUCUGUGUGUGAAUGAAUGCAUAUGCUGCUUUUCAUGUUAUAUUUUCAAUAAAUGUGGCUU